GACGUAGGGCGCAAGCGUUGUCCGGAUUUAUUGGGCGUAAAGAGCUCGUAGGCGGUGUGUCACGUCGGCCGUGAAAACCUGCAGCUUAACUGUGGGCGUGCGGUCGAUACGGGCAUCACUGGAGUUCGGCAGGGGAGACUGGAAUUCCUGGUGUAGCGGUGAAAUGCGCAGAUAUCAGGAGGAACACCGGUGGCGAAGGCGGGUCUCUGGGCCGAUACUGACGCUGAGGAGCGAAAGCGUGGGGAGCAAACAGG
rnacentral:rRNA from 1 species